GAAAAUACUCCGGGAGACUGAAAGCACUUCUGGAUCAUGUGGACACCAGCUCAGAUUUGUUCAGUUUGUGGGGCGAGCACUGAAGGAGUUUGCUACGUACACUUACCCUGUGAAAACGAUGCCCUGGACCUCUGUCUCUGCAACCUGCCACGCGAGGCACUUGCAUAAUUAAAUGGCUGAGUUCCCAUCUCCAAGUGCAGCUCCAUCUCUGGCCAAAACAGUGAAGUCACC